UCUAUAUAGACUGUUGGUCCAGGAGGUCCUACUGGUCAACCUUUCACUCUGCACUGGAGCAGAGCAGACUCAGAAGGUACAUUGCCAGCUGUCACAAAUGGUUCUGGGUAGCUUAAGCUUUGUUCCACUGAUAGUUGGGAUAUUUUUACCUCUGCUGUUUUCUGUGUUUUGUCUAACUGUCUAGAGAACAGAUAGAAGCCCUUGUAAGUGUCGCAGUUUUGGUUUGUUGUACUGACAACUGGAACAAGAUGAUAUUAACAUGACUUUUCACCAAGUCUUAGAACACCUUGUUCUCCCAUGGCUCCUACCACCACUCUGCACAGGCCCCUCUAGAUAUGAUGACUGAAUCCUUAUAGCAACUCAGAGUCAGACUGAAGAUAAUGGUCUGGCUGAGUAAAUCUUCCCUAGACAGACAGCUAUAGGGAGAAGGUCUUGAUAGGAAUUCUUAUGAAGUUAUCACACUGACAUACCUACAGAUUCCAUGACUCCAGUCCCUUAAAGAAUAUGAUGGCUCACAUUAAUGUGAUAAUGGGGUUUAGGAAGGCGUUUUUGUAUCUUUUUAAUUUGUACUUUUUGCAGUGUGGGACUUUCUGACUUCAAGUAGUGAGACCAUUUUGCAAAUUUCCUUCAGAUUUCUUGGGGUUUAUUGACAGGAUUUUUGAGGAAAGGCCAUGUUGAAAUCAUAUAUACUUCUGAGAGAUUCCCUAAUUAGAAAGUUUAUUUAUGAUAAGGUGUGUGUGUGUGUGUGUGUGUGUGUGUGCUUCAUGUGUGUCGGGAUGUGUAUGCACAUAGAUGUAGAAAUUAGAGGACAAUCUUGUCUAUCAUGCUCAGGAAUGUUGUCCACAGAGAGAACACAAUAAAAAUCAGAAACUGUAUUAUGAGUGUUUUAAACUUUGUAUAGUAGUAUGAAAAGGGACCCCAAACAGCUCAUUUUGAUCAAUACAUUUUUCGUUAUUUUGCAUACAAUCUUCCCCACCCCACUCCACCCCCACAACUCUCCUCUUGGCUCUAAAAGGAACUAUUCAUAGAUUUAAUUAAAACAAAAGUUCUUGGAGGUUAUCACUUUUAUAGACAUAUCAAACAUCAAAAGUUUUAAAACCACAUUACAAAAAGACAUUUUGACUUGGAAAUAAAAAGAAAUCUGGAAAAGCCUUGGGUUUUUUUUUUUUUUUUAACAUGGAAUGAAUGAUUCAGAUGGCUUGCUUUCUAUUGCCUAAUACCUUUUAGCUGCGCUUCUGUAGUGACAGGUGAAUAAGAUAGAUGUGCUAGGGAGGAGACAAUAUCCUAAGCCCUGAGCACUAACCUGCUAUAUAGUUCUAAAAUGUGUGAGGCUGAAUAAAUGCAUGCAUUGGUCCCAGACAACAUCAUUAGAUGGUUGGAGCGCAUUGUCUUUCUUUUUUCAAGCCUUGCUCUCAGUAGAGGUGACAUGGUAGUUUCUGAAACGUGGUUUGAUACAGUCCUAGGCUUGGAGGUAAAGCAUGGUUCUCUGCUCAUACCAGGAGCCAGUGAUACAGUCAGGGCUGUCUCUCCUCUGCAUGGCAAUGUCCUCACCCACUGAAGGCAGAUAUUUGAUAACUAGAGCAGUCUCUUUAAGACAUUUUCUAAUUCUAAUAAUAUUCUAUGACUCUCUUUGGAGGGAUAUUUGAAAAACAAUGAACUAACAAUUGGCUUCUACAUAAUUGCUAAGUUGCUUUCUCAUCCAAAUUCCUACUUUAUGCUAUUUUCAUUAUACACGCAUUAUAGCAAUUGUGGUUGAACAACCUAGAGACAGAUUGACUGGUGUUGUGGUCAUUAACGUACCACGUGGCUUUGGUGAGUUGCGUAAUCUGUCUAUGCCUCAGAAUAUGGAUGGUUAAAUGAGGUUAAGGUAUGCUCAAAGACUAGAAUAAAUUCUGGCCUAUAAUAUACACCCAGUAUAAUUAUCAAAAGCUAUUGGGAUUGUAUGUUUACUUGCUUGUGUUUCUCCUAGACUAUGAACUUAGUGUAGACAAGGAUCUUGCCUGGCUCAUUAAUUUUUUCCAGCCUCUAAUAGAGUAGUAUCUAGGACAUAAUCACUCAAUAGAGAGCCAAUAAACAGAUGUUCAGUUCUAUUUUAGACAGAGUAAAAUAGUAAAAUUGUCCAUGGACUUUAGUUAAUUGGUUGGGUUUCGGGGGCCUUGUGUAUCCCCAUAUUAUUUGAUUUGACUUGUUAGGUAAUGAUGUUAAGAGCCAAUUCCCCAACUAGCUAAUCAUUCUACACUUUGGGCUUUAGAAUGACAGAAACAAACCCAGACAGCCAUAUUCUAAAGCAGAGCUCUUAUUCCGUAGAACCCCUACGCCCAGUAGACUGGGGCCAAAUUGUUUUUGUGGUGUCAAGUAAGAUUGAUUUUCUACAAUACUGUUGCUUAGGAGUGACUGAAAUUGCUUCUAUAGAUAGAGAGCCAUAGAAAUAUGGGUCUGUUAUCCAUAAACUCUAAAAGAGUCAGUUUUAGGGAAUGCUUUUUAACUGUAUCUUUGUGGCAAUACCAGCAAGCAAUCAUUAGCACAUAAAUUAGGUGGUCUCAUUCUUUCCAUUUUAAAUGUGCAUAUCAUCUGGAAUACAAUUGGUC
rnacentral:lncRNA from 1 species